rnacentral:misc_RNA from 1 species
ACACCUCAACUCCUCAUGGCUUGCCAUGAUGAGCUUGGACUCUGGGGGUCUUGCUGGCCUACGGUCGGCUCCUCUCAAAUGAAUCAGCUCUGCCAGUGUUUGGUGGCAUCACAGGUGUGAUAACUAUCUACGCUUGUGGUUUUACACCAGGUAACCUUCGGUGACGGAGGUUCGCGCUGGGGCUCAUAAACGUCUCUCCUCAGUGGGGACAGCUUUUUGAAC